AUACUUACCUGGCAGGGGAGACACUGUGAUCACCAAGGCAGUUCUCCCAGGGCGAGGCUCACCCAUUGCACUUCGGGUGUGCUGACCCCUGCGAUUUCCCUAAAUGCGGGAAACUCGACUGCAUAAAGA
rnacentral:snRNA from 1 species